rnacentral:rRNA from 1 species
UACGUAGGUCCCGAGCGUUGUCCGGAUUUAUUGGGCGUAAAGCGAGCGCAGGUGGUUUAUUAAGUCUGGUGUAAAAGGCAGUGGCUCAACCAUUGUAUGCAUUGGAAACUGGUAGACUUGAGUGCAGGAGAGGAGAGUGGAAUUCCAUGUGUAGCGGUGAAAUGCGUAGAUAUAUGGAGGAACACCGGUGGCGAAAGCGGCUCUCUGGCCUGUAACUGACACUGAGGCUCGAAAGCGUGGGCAGCAAACAGG